rnacentral:rRNA from 1 species
UACGGAGGGUGCAAGCGUUAUCCGGAUUUAUUGGGUUUAAAGGGUGCGUAGGCGGCUUUUUAAGUCAGUGGUGAAAGCUCCAUGCUUAACAUGGAAAUUGCCAUUGAUACUGAAGAGCUUGAGUACAUUUGAAGUGGCGGAAUAUGUCAUGUAGAGGUGAAAUUCUUAGAGAUGACAUAGAACACCGAUUGCGAAGGCAGCUCACUAAACUGUAACUGACGCUGAGCACGAAGCGUGGGAUCAAACAGGG